GGGAGAGGUAAGUUAAUAUUUUAUAAACUGUGUGGUUCAUGUUCAUGUAAUGCGUUUUGCCCUCUCUU
rnacentral:tRNA from 1 species